rnacentral:rRNA from 1 species
GUGUCAGCCGCCGCGGUAAUACAGAGGGUGCAAGCGUUGUUCGGAAUUAUUGGGCGUAAAGCGCGUGUAGGCGGCUUGGUAAGUCGGGUGUGAAAUCCCUCAGCUCAACUGAGGAAGUGCGCCCGAAACUGCUUGGCUUGAGUACUGGAGAGGAUGGCGGAAUUCCCCAAGUAGAGGUGAAAUUCGUAGAUAUGGGGAGGAACACCGGUGGCGAAGGCGGCCAUCUGGACAGUCACUGACGCUGAGACGCGAAAGCGUGGGUAGCAAACAGGAUUAGAUACCCUGGUAGUCCACGCCGUAAACGAUGAGAACUAGGUGUCGUGGGUGUUGACCCCUGCGGUGCCGUAGCUAACGCAUUAAGUUCUCCGCCUGGGAAGUACGGCCGCAAGGCUAAA